UAUUUUUAACAAUUAAAAACCCAUUUUCAUUUAAUUUUGAUUGGCUUUAAACUUGGUGUGCGUUAAUCAGGGACAAGUUUUACCGACGCAUUGAUUUUUGGUGUUCACUUAAAAGGGAGUGGGAAUGAAGUUUGGAUUGGGGCGGUACGUCUGUCAAACGCUAGCGCAGGUGUCCUAAGGCGAGCUCAGCGAGGACUGAAACCUCGCGUAGAGCAAAAGGCAAAUGCUUGCUUGAUCUUGAAUUUCAGUACGAUUCGAGACCGUGAAAGCGGGGCCCCUCCAUCCUUUUGGCUUGAAGAGUUUUAAGCAAGACAGUGUCAGAAAAGUUACCACAGGGAUAACUGGUUUGUGGCGGCCAAGCGUUCACAGCGACGUCGCUUUUUGAUCCUUCGAUGUCGGCUCUUCCUGUCAUUGCGAAGCAGAAUUCGCCAAGCGUUGGAAUGUUCACCCACUAAUAGGGAACGUGAGGUGGGUUUAGACCGUCGUGAGACAGACGAGUUUUACCCUAUACUAGUGACCGGUCGUUGCGAUAGUAAUUCUGCUCAGUGCGAGAGGAACCGCACAUUCAGACACUUGGUUCACGUGCUUGGUCGAGAGUCCAGUGGUCUGAAGCUACCAUCCGUAGGAUUACGACUGAACGCCUAAGUCAGAAACCCGUCUAAGCACACAGUGCAGGUUUGUGAUUGGAUGUACAAAUUCACGGACACAUAUUUUGUGUGAGGGACUGCGAGUACAGAGCCGACGGAGUAAAGACGUUCUUCAGUUACGUCUCUGUGUGGCGUUACAACAAAUUGGCGCCUGUGUUCACGACAUUGCAAGGUGGAACCGUCUUCUCGGUGAC
rnacentral:rRNA from 1 species